GGGGCGGACGCAGAUUCGGGCAUCACCUACCCAGAUCCGUCCAUAGGUGAGGCGACGACAGCGGGGCAGCCCGAGGCGGGGCGCUGCGUCCUCAGGCAGAGGUGCAGAGGUGGGGCGGCCAUGUCCGUGAGGUGUAGGCGGGGCAGCACAGUCAGCCCGCGAGGUGCAUCGCGCGGCGCUAGGUGAGAAGGCCGGUGGCGGAGCUAGGGCGAGGCGGCAGCUGCGGGCUCCAGCGGGCACUUGUUGCGGGCGGCGGCAUGGGGAGCUCGGGGCCUCGGGUCGGCGUACACGUCCGCCCAAGAGCGGACAAUGUCCGGGCGGGCGCAAGGACAAAAUGUGAGCCCGAGAUUUCCAAUGUGUGGCCCGGGGGCUAGAAUUUCGGGACUAGGAGGAGGUGGAGCUAGGAGGUGGGGUUUUUUUUAGGAGCGGCUGCAAUUUUAGCAAGGAGGAAACUUUAGUGAAGUGGGAGACUCUUUCCACAAAGUGAGUUUAUAUAGGGAAUGAUUAAUGGUCCGUUCGAUGAUGUUCGUCCAAUCGUGAUCCGGAGACCACAAACAGAGGGAGGGGCUAGGUGGGUCUAGUGGG
rnacentral:lncRNA from 1 species